rnacentral:misc_RNA from 1 species
UUCGAAGUACAGGUGAGCAGGUGAUGCUGGAGCCUGUCCUUUCUAGUUCGCAAUGCCGGUGUCGAUUUCGAGAAGGAUUUUACGCUCUUUUGGGUCCUUGGGCGUUGGUCGUUGCAGUUCUCCAUGUCUCACUUAUCAAUUAUUUCUAACUUCUCUUGAUGUGUGUGGCCGUGUCUCCGGGGAUUGCUUAUUUUUUGCAGAAUCUUCUAGCUUUAUCAAGGGUGGGGCAGCUUCCCUUACGUAUAGGAGGUUUUCAACCUCUAUUCUCACUCC